GGUGCAGUGGCUCAUGCGUGUAAUCCCAGCACUUUGGGAGGCCGAGGCGAGUGGAUCACCUGAGGUCAGGAGUUUGAAACCAGCCUGGCCAACAUGAUGAAACCUCGUCUCUAUGAAAAAUACAAAAAUUAGCUGGAUGUGGCGGUGCUUGCCUGUAAUCCCAGCUACUCGGGAGGCUGAGGCAGCAGAAUCGCUUGAACCCAGGAGGCGGAGGUUGCAGUGAGCUGAAAUCGCGCCAUUGCACUCCAGCCUGGGCAACAGAGCAAGAUUCCAUCAAAAAAAAAAAAAAAAAAAAAAAAAGCCAUAGAGACUUGGAGUGGCUUAGAAACAGAAAAUGGCAAAUAGCGACCUUGGCCAGAUGUGCCUGGAUUUGAGUCUGUGAACUGCCCAUUUUCCACUGUUGGCCCAGGACUGAAACAAGCAUGUGUAAAAGGGGCUGACCGGUUAUUUCCAAGUUAAGUAAACUUCUCCCUCUUGUCGCUCAGCACAUGAGUUCGUAUGGGAGGUUGAGUAUCAUUCGUGAAAUCCAUAUCCUGAUGUUGGAAUCCCCGAUUUUUUUCUCUUAUGAACACUGUCAGAUGGUGCCAGGCUGUCCCUCCAGCCAUCUGGUUUGGUUUGGGGGUCAGAGGUCUGGCAGUGUCUUCAUGUAUGUGGCUGAUUCUGUGCAUGUCUUGGGAGUUUGGGUAGGUGUAAGCAAGUAGGCAAUUAACUACCCAAAUCAGGAGGUCUGAGAAUGGGCUAGUGGACAGAGCAGGAGCAUUGCUAUCUUGGACAAACCCCACCAUUUUAAAUUCCCCUUGAUUAAAAAAAACCUGCCUAAAUCCAGCCCCCAAACAUCAGCCUAAUGGCUAAUGUUAGCAUAACCAGAAACAUUCCAACCCUAAGAUAAACGCCACUCCAACCAGAAACAUGCCGACCCCAAGAUAGCUUCACCUCCAACCAGAGACUUUCCAACCCCAUGAUAAACUUUCCCUCACAUCGAAACAUUGCGAACCUACGAUAAGCUCCCCACUUCCUAUAUCCUUAAACAUCUUUAGUCUGUAAGAGAGAGUGCCCCCGAUCAAAACUGGUCAGAAACCCCUCAGGUUUAUUCUCCAAAAGAAACUGACUUUGAAUGUUAAGCUGCUUUUCAUGUUUCUUUGCUCUUUAACUCUUACACUAGUGGGUCAUUUCCCAAGUGUGAUGCUAUCUACACUAGUUUACCAUGGUUGCUGAGAAGAUAAAAUAUAUGCCUGGACCUGUUGUUAGUCUACUAGGUUGCUGUAAGGAGAGUCUUCCAAGAAUGAGGCAAGAUAAAAAAGCAGAGGGUGCCACAGAGUUUGAAGUCAUUAUUUGAGCUCCUAGAUGCAACUGCACCUGAAACUAGACCCCUGUCUCUAGGUUUUUGAGCCAAUAUAUUCCUUUGCUUUGCUUAAGCCACUUUGAAUUCAAUUUCUGUCACUUGCAACCCACACAGUUCUGACUGAUAUACAAAAUAAACAUAUUACAUGUUAUCUUCUGUGACUCAGAAAUUAUUAUCCAUUUUUACAGAUGAGGAGUUGGAGUUUUAAAGGUGCAGGUAACUUGCAGUGAAAAGCUAAGGUCUGGCACAAGGUUGAUCUUGAAUCUGAAGAAGAAAUGGUUCAAAGUCUCCUUUAGAGAUGCUACCUUCCUGCUGCUCACUUCCAGAAUUUAGUCAGGGAAUUAUUGGGCUGACUUGAGUUGUUGUGUAUACAGUCUGUGAACUUGCAGUUUAUGGUAUUUUAUAAUUUUGUUUUCCCUGCCGUUCUGCUAAUGCAGCUUUGUGAGCAAACAUUGCCUGUGAUUUAAAUCCACCACCGUAAUGAAACGCACACACACACAUGCACACACACUUCCUUGGAACAGUCCACAGCUCUCUGAUUAAUCACAUGUGUACAGUACAGUGUUUACAGGAAAUCAGCAGGUGGCAAUUAGCAUCUUGGAAAUUAUCUGGGAAACACAACUGGAGCUGCCACUUCAGGAUGGAAAUGUGGCAACAACCGGCAAAGUGACAAACCCCUUGGAGUUGGAAAUGAAUGGGGCUGAAAGCGCUGCCAGGCACACAACAGCUGGUGGGGGCAGCCCGGUGUGGACUGCAGACUGCCUGCUAGCUUCUUCCUUUUCUUCCCAACGCGUAAGAAGCAAUCCUUGAGUAGAGACAUGUAAUAGAUGCUCAGACCUGGCUGGACAUGGUGG
rnacentral:lncRNA from 10 species